UGGAGGGCAAUGUUGAGAUGCAAGAAAGACUUUGAUGUGAGCCUACAAUACACCUGGAAGGAUCCCACACCUAGAUGGGUAACAUCAGUCAACGCUCUUCCACCGGUUGCUGGGAUAUUGGGUCAGCCAGCCCUGGUUCCCUUCAGAUCACGUGAGCAUGGAACAGUCUGACCCACCUGGGUCGCCGAGGUGACAUGUGGAAAAUUACAUGUUAUGGGCUCAGGAAUGCGACUUGGAGGAUGACUUCAUGUUCCUGAAUGAACAUAUCGGCGUGCCAGAUGUGCUGGUGCCUGACCCCUUCGGAGGCUCCCAGAGAUCACAUGUAGCUUAAAAAUGGCGUUGCCAGACGGAGCCGGGUUUGGAAAGCAGCCAUUCGUGGAUGUUUUGUUUGGAAAAGCCCCACGGACGUUACCGGGCUGAGAGUGGCGCUGAAUCCACAACGGGAGCUGUAAUUGAAGGAUACAAAUGGUUUUGCUUCAAUAGCCUUUAACGACGUCCCCGGAGGAGCUGUGCAGUGCUGAGGCCGUGGCUGUGGUGCUCCCAGAGAUGCCCGUUCUCUGCGUGCACAUCUCACCCAAGCGCUGCUGACGAGCACUGGAGCUUCCAGCUAUAUCCCUGAUCAACGCUAGAUGUUGCUAUGCUGCUACUCAUAUAAGCUAUACAUUAGCCAGGCUUUCAGAUGCUCUUCACUGCCAUUUCCUCUUUCCUGUUUCUGCUGUUCACACUGCUCUGGAUGCUGAUCCGCUACUUUAAUUUGCCUCUAUUUUUUUUUUAAUAUUCCAUUUUAUUUCAGCAGCAUCAAGUCCAUCACCCGCUUGAAUGUACACAUGAAACCUUCACGAGCAGCAAACAGGCUCCUGUAAGUGAUAAAGUGAAGCAGCUCCUAUAUUCAUGUCAAAUAUUUACUUAAACUCUGCUUCUGGAUUUUUUGCAAUCCGAGGGGAAUGACACCGUCAGCACGACAGUUCUGGG
ensembl:lncRNA